rnacentral:rRNA from 1 species
GAGUUUGAUCCUGGCCAGGAUGAACGCUAGCGGCAGGCCUAAUACAUGCAAGUCGAGGGGUAGAUGGAGCUUGCUCCAUUGAGACCGGCGCACGGGUGCGUAACGCGUAUGCAACCUACCUUUAUCUGGGGGAUAGCCCGAAGAAAUUCGGAUUAACACCGCAUAAAAUCACAGAACGGCAUCGUUCAAUGAUCAAAUAUUCAUAGGAUAGAGAUGGGCAUGCGUGUCAUUAGUUAGUUGGCGGGGUAACGGCCCACCAAGACCGCGAUGACUAGGGGAUCUGAGAGGAUGGCCCCCCACACUGGUACUGAGACACGGACCAGACUCCUACGGGAGGCAGCAGUAAGGAAUAUUGGUCAAUGGAGGCAACUCUGAACCAGCCAUGCCGCGUGCAGGAAGACAGCCCUCUGGGUCGUAAACUGCUUUUAUUCGGGAAUAAACCUACUUACGUGUAAGUAGCUGAAUGUACCGAAGGAAUAAGGAUCGGCUAACUCCGUGCCAGCAGCGCGGUAA